AACCUGGUUGAUCCUGCCUGUAGUUUUAUACUUGUAUCAAAGAUAAAACCAUGCGUGUCCUAGUUGAAACCUUCAAACCGUGAAACCGGAAAAGGCUCAUUAAAUCAGCUAUUGUUUAUUGGAUCAUACCCAUUAAAUGGAUAACUAUAAUAACUCUAGAGCUAAUACAUGCCCCGAAGCCCAUACCCGCCUGGAAAUGGUUGCACUUAUUUGAUCAGAACUGUCAAUUUUAGGUGACCUGCCUACUAUGGUGAUAACAGGUAACGGGGAAUCAGGUUUCGAUUCCGGAGAGGGAGUUUGAGAAACGAUUUCCGCUUCCAAGGGAGGCAGCUGGUACGCAAAUUACCCCCUUCCAGUAUGGGGAGGUGGUGAUGAAAAAUAUCGAUUUGGAACUCUUAUUAAGGCUUCGUAAUUGGAAUGAGUGCACUCAAAAUCCUUUCAUGAGGAUCAAUAGGAGGACAAGUCUGGUGCCAGCAGCCAAGGUAACUCCAGCUCAAAAAGCGGAAAAAAAAGUUGCUGCAGUUUAAAAGUUUGUUGUUAAAUUUCUGUAUCACUGUCGCUUCCAUGUCCUAUGCUGAUUGUGCUGGCGUUUUUGGGACGUCGCUUAGUUCGGUGCCAUUUACCCAGGAAUGGCUAUGCACUGUUUGGCGUGGUGGUGGUUUCACCUUUCAGCCAUGUUUGCGGUGAAAUACCCGCAGGUGUAGGCGAGUGUAAGGUGGUUCUCUGCGAUAGUAGGGUCCGCCGGCUCAUCUUCAUGCAUUUUAAUGCCCUAAAAAAGGUGUCAAUGGGUGGAUAGCACGUGUACGUUGAGCAAAUUAAAGUGCUCAAACCAGGCCCAUGUUACUUAACAAUAUUUGCAAAGAAUAACGGAAUUGGACGUCUGUUCAAUUUCGUUUGUUUUCAGAUCCGAAGUAAUGAUCAUUAGUGACAUAAGGGGACGUUUGUAUGGUUGCGCUAGAGAUAAAUGUCAUAGACUGUUACCAGACAAGCCAAAGCGAAAGCAUUCGUCUACCAUGUUAUUAGUGGCCAUGAGCGAAAGCCAGAAACUUGACGGUUAUCAGAUACCGUCCUUGUGCUGUCCAUUGACGAUGCCAACUGACGAUCCAUGGUGGUAGGAUUUUAACCAUCACCAAGGGAUUGCCCAGGAAACCUUUAAGUAUUUGAGUUCCGCUGGAAGUACAAUUGCAAAGCUGAAACUUAAAAGAAAUUGACGAGAGCGAACCACCAGGAGUGGAGCCUGUUACUUAAUUUGACAAAAAACGGGAAAUCGCAACAAGCCCGGACACUGUCAGGAUUGACAGAUUGCUAGCUCUCUCUUGAUUUGGUUGUUGGUAAUGCAUGGCCGUUCUUACUUGGCGUAGCAAUCUGUCUGGUUACUUCCGAUAAUGAACGAGAUUCUAGCCUGCUGAUUAGUUUGCUUGUCUUCUGUUCAUGUGCUGGUGGCGUUUUGGCGAAACAGAACACUUCAGCUGACUACCUUCGGGCCACACAUUUCUCUGCGCGCGUGACCUGCGAGCCCUUCCCGGGGCGAGUGUUGCACGCGCGUGUGGGGCGUUGACUGUGGAAGGAUGUGUGAGCAGUGGGUUCUGCGCUUGCCUUUGGGUAUGGCGCAUGUGUGUCUUCUUCUAUGACGGACACGAAUAACGAGUGUGCAUAAAAUUGAGUAAUAACAGGUAUGUGCUGCCAAAAGAUGUCCAGGGCCGCGCACGCGAUUCAAUGGCGCUGCCAAGGAGAUUGACCAACUGGCCCAACAGGGUUGGGUAAACUGGUUAAUCCACGUCAUGUCAGGGAUCGGGGCUUUGUAUUGUUCCACCGUGGACGAGAAAUUCCUUGAAAGUACAUGUCAUAAGCUAGCACUGAUUACUUUCCUGCCAUUUGUACACACUGCCCGUCACUAUUACCAAUUGAAAGGUAUAGUAAGGUCAUUGGAUUGGAACCAUUGCAGUGCCAGCCACAAUGUUGUUGCUUGACAGGUACCGAAAAGACGACCAAACUUUAUCAUUUAGAGGAAGGUGAAGUAGUUACAAGGUUUCCACAGGUUAACCUGCAGAAUGAUCAUAA
rfam:Schistocephalus solidus strain NST_G2 genome assembly, scaffold: SSLN_scaffold0010485